UACCCGGCAACUCCUAUCCCUACCUCCCCGUGGUACCGGCCGGAAACUAUGAGCAACCUUAGGGAAGA
rnacentral:ribozyme from 1 species